rnacentral:rRNA from 1 species
UCCUACGGGAGGCAGCAGUGGGGAAUAUUGCGCAAUGGGGGGAACCCUGACGCAGCCAUGCCGCGUGAAUGAAGAAGGCCUUCGGGUUGUAAAGUUCUUUCGGUAAUGAGGAGGGGAUGUUGUUAAAUAGAUAGCAUCAUUGACGUUAAUUACAGAAGAAGCACCGGCUAACUCCGUGCCAGCAGCCGCGGUAAUACGGAGGGUGCGAGCGUUAAUCGGAAUAACUGGGCGUAAAGGGCACGCAGGCGGACUUUUAAGUGAGAUGUGAAAUCCCCGAGCUUAACUUGGGAACUGCAUUUCAGACUGGGAGUCUAGAGUACUUUAGGGAGGGGUAGAAUUCCACGUGUAGCGGUGAAAUGCGUAGAGAUGUGGAGGAAUACCGAAGGCGAAGGCAGCCCCUUGGGAAUGUACUGACGCUCAUGUGCGAAAGCGUGGGGAGCAAACAGGAUUAGAUACCCUGGUAGUCC